rnacentral:rRNA from 1 species
AUUGAACGCUGGCGGCAUGCUUUACACAUGCAAGUCGAACGGUAACAGGCCUUCGGGUGCUGACGAGUGGCGCACGGGUGAGUAAUGCAUCGGAACGUACCCAGAGGUGGGGGAUAACGCAGCGAAAGCUGUGCUAAUACCGCAUGUGAUCUGAGGAUGAAAGCGGGGGACCGAGCAGCAAUGUUUGGCCUCGCGCCUUUGGAGCGGCCGAUGUCGGAUUAGCUAGUUGGUGGGGUAAAGGCCUACCAAGGCGACGAUCCGUAGCUGGUCUGAGAGGACGACCAGCCACACUGGGACUGAGACACGGCCCAGACUCCUACGGGAGGCAGCAGUGGGGAAUUUUGGACAAUGGGCGCAAGCCUGAUCCAGCAAUGCCGCGUACGGGAAGAAGGCCUUCGGGUUGUAAACCGCUUUUGGCAGGAACGAAACGGUGUCCGCUAAUACCGGGCGCUAAUGACGGUACCUGCAGAAUAAGCACCGGCUAACUACGUG